CCUGAUAUGCCUAGAUAAGGCGUCAGAUAUAAGUUUUAUCUAGUUUUUGGUUGCCCUGAUAUACUUAUACGAUAACCCGGUAUACAAGCUCUAACCCGGUUUCAAUUAAGAUACAUCCCUCCCAAAUGCUACCCAAGCUGAAGCCUCCGAUAUGCGCUACCUCGGAGAACCAGAUUGCUGCUACCGCACUCCUUUGUCUAAAACACCCCUCGCCAUUGUCGUCAAUCUGGGACACGCAUAGUUUUUCACGAGCCUAGCUUGUCGUUUUGCUUAGCAACAAUUUUCUGUCGGCGCAAAAUUUCUGUUUAACCACCGACCACCGCCGGCUGAAGGUCGGCUGAAGGGAUCUGGUCGACAGGAUGAAAUGACAACCAUUUUGAUUUUGUUAGAAGAGAUUAUACAAAACUAUCAAAUAAACUUGUUGCUCAUCUCCUUUAUGAUCACACUUCUUUGCCCGCAAACACGGAAACGUAAACGUUGGGACCGACUAGGAUAGUCCGAAGUUUUAGAUUCAAUACCUGCCCAUGUACGUCAAUUGGAUCAACCUGUGUGUGUUACAGAUAGGUUUUUGAAAUAGAUUUUACAGCUUGGUUGCUUUUAUGCUUUGUUUAGCUAGAUUGAAGCUUUGGGGCUUUUGCGUCUUAUCUCUCUUUUCUAAAAUUAAUGACCCAAACAUAUGCUAUACAAUGAAUUUGAACUCAUAUUGUAGUUUUUUUUUAUUCAUAUGUUUUUUUUUUAUACACAUUCUACACCAUUGCUCUAAUAGUUGCUGGUGCUAGUAAUCCAUUGAUGAUAUGGGCUUGAUUAUGUAGCUUGUUGAUUCAAAUGCUGAAGUUUGUAUAGAUUUUAAGUCUUGCGACUCAGAGAAAGAGAGCUAGAAUCGCUGACAAGAAGAAGAGGAUCGUCAAGGCCAAGUCAUAAGCUGCUGAGUACCAGAAGCUUCUUGCGACUCGCAUGAAGGAACAGAGGGAUAGGAGCAGUGAGAGUUUGGCCAAGAAGAGUUCUAAACUUUCUACUGCAACAAAACCAUCAGCUGCUGCAUAAUCGACAUCUUCUGCGUUUAUGCUUCUGAAUCUGCUCAUGUCUUCUCAGAACUGAUUGAGUUUUAGAUAAUUUUGAAUCUUUUGCCGAAUGUUACAAAACCAUGAGUUUUGCCUAUUUUGUUUUGGAUAAAUUUUGAGAUGAUACUAUUUUCUUUGAA